rnacentral:lncRNA from 12 species
GGAGGACUUAGGAGCCGCCCUCUCCACCCUUGUAUCUAAAAUAAGGCUGCAGUUUUGCAUCUGCAAUGAUUUGUGCCUGGAAAUAAGGAAGUGAGAUUCCUGCCUACUGGAAAGGCAGUUAUGGGGGGCUGCUCUGGGAGGCCCGUGUGGCCUAGGCCUGCAGAUCAUGAGCCGCACGUGCAGGGGAAAUGGGAGCUCCAAACAGGCAGCUGCUAGAAGUGCUGUUGCUCAGGGCAAGACAGCCACGGGGCUCUGUUUCCUGGCCUGGGAUGUGGAGGUGCACACUGGCUCCUAGGGGAGGCGAUGGUUCUCGCCCUGUGUCCUGGGGGACGCCUUUCCGUCCUGUAGCACUGGCUGCGGGCUGGCUCCCCACUGGCCAUGCCUCCUGUGUGGCUUCAGUUCCUUCUAGCAAGCUCCUCCAAGCUGAAUGCCAGCAGCACUGAUUCCACGGAGGGAGCCUCAGUGGCUGAUGCCUGGCGUGUGACACUCCACACGACCAGAGCAAUCAGUCCCGGGCCAGGGCCAGAGCCAGGGACGUUUCCCAGGCCUUUGGAAAGAGAAACUGUCUGAUGCAACAGCUUCAAGGGCAAACAGUCUCCCUUCCUCCAAAUGGUACAGCUGAGAACACGAGGUCUGGACGUGAGGGUGGAGCUUAUCUGAGUGAUGUCUCCUUCUGCAGUCUGAGGCCGAGUCCGACGCCGCAGCAGGCAGACUGUGGAAAUGGGGAGUCACUGAUUUCCCUGCGUCCGGCUCUUCCUGCCCCUGCUGUUGACUUUUUCUUUGAACGAAUGCAUUUCCUAUAUGGUUUAGGGGCAGACACUUCUCCAUGCUGAAGACCACGUGGGAGCUCUGUCCUGACCCCUUACAGCACCCGAGGCACACAAUGGCCCUGCUCUCCAGCAGUGACCAGGAAAGUCCAGGGAAGGCCCCACCGGCCCAACAUACAGAAUCAAGUAACAACUGAUGGUGUUGCUAUAUGGUUGGUUGUUGUGGUUGUCUGAAGUACUUCUACUCUGUCUUCGGAUGUCUAAUCUGCUCCUGGCAUCAGUGGCCUAGAACCUUGCUGAAGAGUUAUGAAAUAAAGAAAAGAAGCAGAAAUCGCCUUGUGGGCAAAAGGAAAAAAGGAGAAGUCAAAAGUUUCCCGGUCAAUCUGUCAUCCUGCUGCAAUUCCUGGCCCUUUCUUCCACCAGCUGCAACUAUCUAUCUUCCCUUACACAUAAGUUCAGGACAGCCUCAGACUCCUGAAGGGAUUCACCUGCUUUUGUUCAUUUUUGUUAAUUCUCCCUUGAUUCCUGUAAUUUCAUCGGGCUUAAUUUGA